UACAGAGGGCGCGAGCGUUGUCCGGAAUCACUGGGCGUAAAGGGCGCGUAGGUGGCCACUAUAAGGCCGCGGUGAAAGUUCGGGGCUCAACCCUGAAUCUGCCGCGGCGACUGUAGGGCUUGGGCACCGUAGAGGCAGAUGGAAUUCCGGGUGUAGCGGUGGAAUGCGUAGAGAUCCGGAAGAACACCGGUGGCGAAGGCGGUCU
rnacentral:rRNA from 1 species